rnacentral:rRNA from 1 species
CCUACGGGCGGCAGCAGUGAGGAAUAUUGGUCAAUGGACGAGAGUCUGAACCAGCCAAGUAGCGUGAAGGAUGACUGCCCUAUGGGUUGUAAACUUCUUUUAUAUGGGAAUAAAAUGUUCCACGUGUGGGAUUUUGUAUGUACCAUAUGAAUAAGGAUCGGAUAACUCCGUGCCAGCAGCCGCGGUAAUACGGAGGAUCCGAGCGUUAUCCGGAUUUAUUGGGUUUAAAGGGAGCGUAGGUGGAUUGUUAAGUCAGUUGUGAAAGUUUGCGGCUCAACCGUAAAAUUGCAGUUGAAACUGGCAGUCUAGAGUACAGUAGAGGUAGGCGGAAUUCGUGGUGUAGCGGUGAAAUGCAGAGAUAUCACGAAGAACUCCGAUUGCGAAGGCAGCUCACUGGACUGCAACUGACACUGAGGCUCGAAAGUGUGGGUAUCAAACAGGAUUAGAUACCCUUGUAGUC